CAUGGCUUAGCCCCACCCCCAAUCUCUGCUUCUGCACUGCGAAGUAGUUGCGGUGCGUGAAACAAGUCGGGCAGGGGACGAUCGUUUUCACAACUGAUUUUCGGUGAGUUUGAACUUUAUCUAUUCUUUAUAACGCCAACCCACGAAAAUACCCUAUUAUUUCAACCCCCCCCCCCUAAAAAAUAUGUUAUGCGUGAUUCUUCCCCGUUUAAAUGGUACUGCUUUAUCUCUACCUUUCGUCUUCCAGUCUGUCCGAGUCUGGAUUCUUCAAUGAGGUCGUCUAGUCACUUGUAGCGGCUUGGGGAGAAGAUUGAUCUGAGCGCUACCGGGAAAACUACUUGAGUUUUCUCUUCCAGUCGGGACUGAAAAUGAAAUUCUGGAUUUUUGCACUCGUUGUCAUCACGGCAUUAGAAGCAACACACGGGGUAAGUGCGAUUUGUUUACUCAGUGCGUCUCUAGACACAAGUAUGCGCAGUAUAUUGUUUAAACAA
rnacentral:lncRNA from 1 species